UAAAGAUGAAAAAGUAUGGAUGUCACAGCAGUAGAACAAUGCAAAUGUAUUAAAAUUAAAAGUUAAUUAGGUAUAUUAAGUAACGUAACCGGCAAGGAAUGAAAGGUAUGAAAGAUACCCAGACUAGAGCAAAAAGAUUUUAAGUUUAAAUGGAAGGUAUGGAUUUUAAAGGUAAUAUUUAUUAAUGGGAGGUCUAGAUAUCACACUGGGCAUAGUUAAAUUGAAGGUAAAGGUAAAAGGUAUAGUAACACAAUGUAAGGUAAAAAGGAAAGUUUGAGUAUGCAAAUAAAGGUUGAAUGGACGGUAUGGAUGCAAAUACAAAAAUACGACAAUGGAAAGUUGAAAUAAAUAUAUGAACGUUGUGCAAUGGGUGGAGUAAUAAAAUAGUAAGACACUCAAAGGUAAAAUGAAAGGUAUGGAUAACACACUGGGUAGGAAAUAACAGUUUGAAUGUAAGGUAUUGCUGAUAUACUACGGAAAUCAAAAGCUACGUUGGCCCAUUGGGUACAACAAAAAGGAAAAAAGAAAUGUAAGAUGAAAAGUAAGAGUGUGUAUGUAUCAAUGAAACUAAUAGAAUGAAUGACAUAUAGGGUAGAGAAUUCAAAGCAAAAUUAUUCAAAGGUUGAAACAAAGACAUAGACGAAACAUUGGUAGAGAGGUACAGACAUAAGAAUGGAAGGGUAUGGAUGACAGAGGACAGAUGAAUACAAAAAAUGAGAAAAAGAAAAGUUAAAUGGGUAGACUAAUGCGCAAAUCCGCAAAGGCAGGAAUGAUACCCUGUGGAGAGCAGUUUUAAAGAAAGAAAUUAAAGGUAUGAAUGAAAUUUAAAUGAAAUAUAUGGUUUAUAAAGUGAAUGUCUGGUCAAGUAACAAUAAUACUAGAAUAUAUAAACACUAAAGUAUAAUAUUAAAUGGAAGGUUUGAAUGACAGACUGGGAAAAACUGCACAAAAAUACGAAGAUGAAAAAUUGGAAUCAAAGUAUGAAUGAUCCAAUGAAGGAAAUGAAGGAUUAAAGGAAAAGCAGGGAUGAUAUACUACGAAAGGUAUUACAAAAUAAAAAGAAAUUUAAGGAUAUUAUAAAGCUAGGGAAUACUAAAAAGGGAAGCUUAUGGAAGGUAAUGGGCAACAAAUUAAGAAGAGUAAUAAGAAAAAAAAGGAAGUAAGAGGUUUAGAUGAAAUUAAUAUAUGGUACAUGAAAUGCAGCAAUACCAAAAAGAGUUGAUUAGCGUGUAUAUGAAAGAAUGUGAAAGGUAUGGAUAAGGUAAUAAAAGAUGAAAAAUGGUCAAGUGGAUGGUUUUGAUGAUGCAAUGGUUAGAUUUACUAGAAAAAUAAGGAAAUGGAAGGUUGAUUGAAAGGUCUGGAUGUCAUGCAAGAUGGAGCUAUGCACAAAAAACGGUAAUGAAAAAUUGAGUUUGAACGCAAGAUAUGGAUAAUUUUGUGGAUUGAGGAAUACGAAAAUAAGAAAAUAAGAUGAAAUGAAAGGUGAAGUGAAAGGUGAAGUGAAAGGUGAAGUGAAAGGUGAAAUGAAAGGUUUGGAUGAUACUGCAAUUAACAAAACAAAUUGAUAAGAAAAUCAAAGGUAAGAUGAAAAGUUAGAGUGAAAAACUUCGUAUAGUAAUGUAUGUAUUAAUAAAUGACUGGAAUGGAUAACAUUUGGGAUUGAAUAUUAUUAAACAAAAACGUAGAGAAAAGAUGUGGAUGAUACCCUAGGUACAGUGAUAAGAAAAUAAAAGGAAGAAAAUAAAAGGUUUAAAGGGAGACAUGCAUGCAACUUCGCGUAAAAUAUUAUAGAAUGAAAGGUUAAUAAGUGAUUUGAAUGAAAGGUACUAUACUAUAGAGCAAAAGAAAGAAAUUAAAGGUGGUGAAUUGAAUUUAGAUAAACAGUAUGGAAUACAUAGUCGGCAACAGAUAUAUAUGAACAAUGAUAUAUGAUAUUAGAUUUAAGGUUUGGAUGACUUAAUGGGUCGAGUAUGCAAGAAAUGUUAAAUAGAAGGUAAAAUGACAGGUAUGGUUAACACAUAGGAAGGAUGUACUAGGAAGUAAAAGUUAUGGAUAACAAAACUGGAUAGAGGGAUAGAAAAAAGAGGUAAAAAUGAGAGGAAUGGACAAUACAUUGUGUAAAGUAAAACAAAAUGAAGGUGACUGAUGUGGAGUAAUAAGAAAGGUAAAGUAAAGUAUGAAAGGUAUGAACGACAUCCCAGUAUUUAAAAGGUAUAUAAGAUAAAGGUAUGAAUGACACACAAGCAUAGGUGAUAGAUUGGAUACAGUUGAUAACGAGGAGUGAAACAGUACAAGAAAUGUAUGCAUAUUAAGUAAUAAGAAAGAAAUAUAAUAAAAAAGUUAAAGUAAAGGUAGAAUUGGAACAUAGCGUAGAGUAAUACAGAAAUAAGAAUGAAAGGAUAAAUGAAAAGGUGUGAAUGACACGAUGGUAAAAUGAUACAAGAAUCGGAAAACCGAAAGGUUAAAUGGGUAUACUUAUGCGGUAGACCCUGGAGUAACGUAAGCGGUAGAACAGGAAAGGUAUGAAUGGUACCCUGGAAAGCUAUAAACGAUACCCUGGGAAGAGCGAUGUUAAAGGAAGAAAUUAAAGUAUGAAUGAAAUUUAAAUGAGAGGAUGGGGUUGUUGAGUCAAUAACAGGAAAAAUAAGGAAUAAAAUUUGAUGUUGAAUGAAGGUGGAGUAAAGAAAAAUAAAUAAAGAAAAAUGAUAAGAUAAAAGGUAUUGAUGAUACUUGGUAGAUUAAUUCAAAAAUUUGAAUUGGGAAGAAGGGGCGAUAUACUUGGUCGAACAAAGUAAAACAAAAACUAUGGAUCAGUAAGUAGAGUAACGAAAAAAAAGGAAAAUAUAGAUGACACAAGGUGUAGAAUAAAAAAAAGUUAAAUUGAAAGUAUGGGUGAAAAGGAAGAUUAUAUGGAGGGUAUGGAUGAUUCAGAAAAGGUGAAAUGGAAGGUAUGAAUGGCACACUGAGUAGAAUAAUGCAUAGGAGAUUAAAUGGAAGGAAUGGAUGACGCACUGGACAGAGAAAUGUUAAAAAAAAAAAAAAAAAAACGAAAUUGAUGACACGCUGGGCAGACUAAUGCAAAAAUACGAAAAUGGAACGUUUAAAUAAAGUCAUGGACGAAGGGUAAAUCAAUAAAGCAGUAGAUAAAAAACUCAAAGGUAUAUGAAAGGUACGAAUAACGAAAUUAAAGGUUACAUGAAAAGUAUGAAUGAUGUGUUAUACAGAAAUACGGAAACAAAUGCUUGUGUAAAAGAUAUGAUUGGCAGAUUGGGUAGAUACCCUUUCAUUAAAAGGAUGAUAUGAAUAUCUGGAUGGAGAGUAAAGGAAUGGAUGGCACACAUGUAAAUGAAUAUGCAAUUUAAUGUAAUGUUAAAUGGAAGCUAUGCAUGACACAAAAAAACAACAACAAAAAACAAGAAACAAAGGAUAUAGAUAAUACACUGGCUAGAUUAACUGAAUAUUAAGGAAAUAAAAGGUAAAAGAAACACAUUGGUCUGAGAAUUGAAUUGAUAUUAGGGAGAAGAGUUUAAACGAAAGGUAUGGAUGAAACAUGGAUUAGAGCAGUACAAGAAAUCUUAAUGGAAGGUUUAAUGUACGGUUGAGAAAAAAAAUCGAAACUAAAAGGGUAUAUAUGGAUGACGGAUAUAGUUGAUUUGAACGAUAUAAAAAACACCCUGGGUAGAGAAAUGAUAAUAGUGGCUUUAAAUGGUACGAAUGAUAACCUGGGUAGAGAAUAUGAAGGGAAAACGAGUACACUAUGAAAGAUAUGAAUAGAAUUAUACAGAUGGUAGUAGUGAAAGAUGAAAGUAAUUAACUUAUUAAAAUGAUUGAUUUGAAAGGUAUGAAUGACACCAAGAGCAGAGUUAUAGGUAUGGAUGACACCCAAAGUAGAGUAACAAGAAAGGUAGAUUUUAAAAGUAUGGAUGAUACCCAAGGUAGAGAAAAGAAAGGUAUUUUUAAAGGUAUGGAUGACGCUCAGGGUUAAGUAACAACAACAACAACAACAACAAAUAAAAAGGAUACAGAUGAGACCCUGGUUAGAGAUAUUCAAACACACUGAUCAGAGUAGUGAAAAUGUAGAUUUAAAAGCUAUGAAUAAUACUCUGGGUAGAGUAAUAGAAAUGUAGAUAUUACUGGUAUGAAUGGAUAGAGAUUAUACCUAGGGUAGAGAAGAUCUAGGGAAAACGAGUAAAAUAGAAGGGAUAUAUGAUUAUACAGAUGGUUGUUGUAAAAGACGCAAAUAAUUAACUUAUUAAAUGUGGUUGAUCUGAAAGGUAUGGAUGACACCCUGGGUAAAGUAACAAAGAAGAAAAAUUUUAUAGGUAUGGAUGAAAUCAAGGGUUGGGUAACAAAAAUUAAGAUUGAAAGGAAGAUACCCAGUGUUAAGUAGCAAUUAAGAAAGAUUUGAUAGGUAUGGCUGAAACCAAGGGUAGAAUAACAAAAAAGAAAAACUUUAAAGGUAUGGUUGAUACCCCGGGUAGAAUAUAAAAAAAGAAAGAUUUGAUAGGCAUGAAUGAAACAAAGGGCUGAAUAAAUAAAGGAAAGGUAUGGAUGAAAGGGUAAAGUAACAAUAAAGAAAGAAUUGAAAGGUAGAGAUGAAAUCAAGGGCAGAGUAAUAAAAAAGAAAGAUUUGAAAGGUAUGGAUGAAACCAAGAGUAGAGUAGCAAAAAAGAAAGAUUGGAAAGGUAUGGAUGAAACCAAGGGUUAAGUAACAACGACAAAAAACAUAUAAAUAUAUUUGGAAAGUAUGGAUGAUAACCAGUGUAGAGUAAAAAGAAAGGUAUUAGAGGCAUGGAUGAAACCAAGGGUUGAGUAACAAAAAAGAAAGGUAUUAGAGGCAUGGAUGAAACCAAGGGUUGAGUAACUAAAAAGAAAGGUUUGAAAGGUAUGGAUGACACCCAGUGUAGAGUAAGGUAUGAAUGGGUGAGCAACAAAAGAUUUAAAAGGUAUGGAUGACACCCUGGUUAGAGUAACAACAAUUUUGAACAAUGAAAUAUAAUAUAUAAUGAAACAUAAUACAUAAGAUUUAUUAAUGGAUGAAACCAAGGGUAGAGUAAUAGUAAAGAAAUAUCAGAAAGGUAUGGAAAAUAUCAAGGGUAGAGAAACAAAAAAAAUGAAGAUUAUAAAGGUAUGGAUGAAAUCAUGGAUAGAGGAACAAAAGAGAAAUAUGUGAAAGGUAUGGAUGAAAUCAAGGGCAGAGUAACAAUAAAAAAGAUCUGAAAGGUAUGGAUGAUACCCAGUGUAAAGUAACAAAAACGAAGAGAAAAAAAGAAGAAAGGUAUGGAUGUAACCAAAGGUUGAGUAAUAAAAAAGAAAAAAUUGAAAGGUAUGGAUUACACCCUGGGUAAAGUAACAAUAAAGACAAAUUUGAUGGGCAUGGAUGAAACCAAGGGUAGAAUAACAAAAAAAUAGAAAGAUUUGAAAGGUAUGAAUGAUACCCAGUGUAGAGUAAGGUAUGGAUGAAACCAAGGGUUGUGCAACAACAACAACAA
rnacentral:lncRNA from 1 species